CAUAGGUUAAUGAGGCGAACCGGGGGAACUGAAACAUCUAAGUACCCCGAGGAAAAGAAAUCAACCGAGAUUCCCCCAGUAGCGGCGAGCGAACGGGGAGCAGCCCAGAGCCUGAAUCAGUGUGUGUGUUAGUGGAAGCGUCUGGAAAGGCGCGCGAUACAGGGUGACAGCCCCGUACACAAAAAUGCACAUGCUGUGAGCUCGAUGAGUAGGGCGGGACACGUGGUAUCCUGUCUGAAUAUGGGGGGACCAUCCUCCAAGGCUAAAUACUCCUGACUGACCGAUAGUGAACCAGUACCGUGAGGGAAAGGCGAAAAGAACCCCGGCGAGGGGAGUGAAAAAGAACCUGAAACCGUGUA
rnacentral:rRNA from 1 species